GAUGAAUGGCAAUUCCUUGUUUAUUGUCAUCUAUUAUCAUUGUUUAAGCUUCAUGUAAUAGAUGUCACUGAAUGCAAUAUCAAAUUAUAAGUAUUUUAAAAGAAUAAAAAAGACUAGAGCAAACGCCAUGGAAGUAAAGUCUUUCUUGAAUUGGCUUAUUUACCGGUAAUAUUCUUCAUGUGGUGCAUCAAAAGCCUAUGUGUUCCUACAGCACCGGUUUCCA
rnacentral:misc_RNA from 1 species